AGUGAACGCUGGCGGUAGGCCUAACACAUGCAAGUCGAACGGCAGCACAGUAAGAGCUUGCUCUUACGGGUGGCGAGUGGCGGACGGGUGAGGAAUACAUCGGAAUCUACUUUUUCGUGGGGGAUAACGUAGGGAAACUUACGCUAAUACCGCAUACGACCUACGGGUGAAAGCAGGGGAUCUUCGGACCUUGCGCGAUUGAAUGAGCCGAUGUCGGAUUAGCUAGUUGGCGGGGUAAAGGCCCACCAAGGCGACGAUCCGUAGCUGGUCUGAGAGGAUGAACAGCCACACUGGAACUGAGACACGGUCCAAACUCCUACGGGAGGCAGGAGUGGGGAAUAUUGGAAAAUGGGCGCAAGCCUGAUCCAGCCAUACCGGGUGGGUGAAGAAGGCCCUCGGGUUGUAAAGCCCUUUUGUGGGGAAAGAAAAGCAGCAGGUUAAUACCCCGCUGUUCUGACGGUACCCAAAGAAUAAGCACCGGCUAACUUCGU
rnacentral:rRNA from 1 species